AACAACGAAGGAAGUUCCUGCCAAUUCUUCCGAAACCAUUGAUGGCAACCUUCAAUUUGGCAACUGUUUCUCCUUUCACUGGUCCUGCUGAUCCUGUGGUCUGAUUUGAGAUAAAAGUAAACGAGUUUCAGGAAAAAAGAUGUUUUACUGAGUAAGAGUAAAAAUGCUUACCUUGGGAGUGAGUUGAGCAGACACAACAUCAAAGAAGGAAGACUCUUUGUUACAAAAUGUCACACAUCCACUCGAUCGAAGACCAGAGAACUCUGCUACUUCAAAUUUCUACAAAAA